ACACGACUACAUUAGAUACCCCGGUAGUCCUAGCCGUAAACGAUACUCGCUAGGUGUCGGCCACGGUGCGACCGUUGUCGGUGCCGUAGGGAAGCCGUGAAGCGAGCCACCUGGGAAGUACGGCCGCAAGGCUGAAACUUAAAGGAAUUGGCGGGGGAGCACCACAACGGGUGGAGCUUGCGGUUUAAUUGGAUUCAACGCCGGAAAUCUUACCGGGACCGACAGCAACAUGAAGGCCAGGCUGAAGACUUUACCGGAUUAGCUG
rnacentral:rRNA from 1 species